UUUUAGCCCUGAUAGUAGUGGAAAUACUUUUCCUGACUUCUUUAGGAAGGAAAAGAUUGUAACGAAUAGCAGGAUUAGUU
rnacentral:sRNA from 2 species